rnacentral:misc_RNA from 1 species
CCGAACUGUUGACACGAGUUGUUGCUGGUCCCCACACGGGGGCAUGUGCACGCUCUGUUUACACAUCCACUCACACCGUGUGCACCCUCUGUAGUUCUAUGGCCUGGGGGUCCAUCCUCUUGCCGUGGUUCUAUGUCUUUACAUACACACCGUAACAAAGUCUCAUGGAAUGCAUGCUGCGUCUAACGCAAUACAAUA